UGUCAGACUCUCAGUUAAUCUUCCAAGAUCAGACCAAGGAAAGCUUCAGAGAAAGCCUGGCUGCAUCAAUGAAGAUUUGUCUCUACAAAGGCAGAUCUCCCUGACAAAAGGUAGCCUUUCAUCCAUUCUUAUAUUCCAGCCAUCCUGAAUAGCCAUCUCCAAAUGUCAAAGAAAUAUAUUUUGGGGUGAAGUUCCCUGUGCUACUGUAGAUGCUUUGGUGGAUGCACAGUACAAAGGAUGAAGAAAGUGAAGCAUCAAUUGCUCUACAAUUUGGAGAUAUCAGACGAACAGAGGGAAAAUGCAGUCAGUGGUCUAAAGCUGCCCCUUAGGAAAUCUAAGGCUAUAUCUGGUUCCAUAAAGUCUUUAAUCAGUCAGUCAGAACAACUGCAGCAUUCCUGCCGCUCAGAAUACCUUAAUGGCCUUAGUAGCUGAGGUCCUCACAGCACUGGCAAGAGCAACAUGGCAUUGGAAUGGGAGGACUGAAGUAAGUUUCUUCCACAAAAGCAAGACGGAAGAAGCCAAAGACUCUCUGGUCAUUGCAGAAGGAAGAAUGAGAGCCCAAGCCUGAGGAAGAUAAAAUGAGAUGAUUUGGCUUAAUAUGAAUUAAGGCAGCUGCCAGUGGUUCUGUAAUGAGCAAACUGAUUAUUUUUUUAUGUAGCCUCUAUUCACAUUUUUAUGUUUGAUUUUGUCCUUUGAUUGUAAUGACAGGUUGUGGUUACACAUUAUUAAAGAUGAAUACUAAAGAAGCGACUAAAUAAAAAGGCAAGAAAUUGAGGAUGAUUGGUAUAAUCCCAGCAGGGAAGCAGAUGAGGAAAGGCAGAAGAUAAAGUUUUUUUUAUGUCUCUGCUACUGUGUGCUCCUCACCUACACAUGUUGGAAUAAACUUAGAAUAUUUCCUUUAUUCAAUGGUAUUGUUGU
rnacentral:lncRNA from 1 species